rnacentral:rRNA from 1 species
AGAGUUUGAUCAUGGCUCAGAUUGAACGCUGGCGGCAUGCUUUACACAUGCAAGUCGAACGGCAGCGGGGGCUUCGGCCUGCCGGCGAGUGGCGAACGGGUGAGUAAUACAUCGGAACGUGUCCUUAAGUGGGGAAUAACGCAUCGAAAGAUGUGCUAAUACCGCAUAUCUCUCAGGAGGAAAGCAGGGGAUCGAAAGACCUUGCGCUAAAGGAGCGGCUGAUGUCUGAUUAGCUAGUUGGUGGGGUAAAGGCUUACCAAGGCAACGAUCAGUAGCUGGUCUGAGAGGACGACCAGCCACACUGGGACUGAGACACGGCCCAGACUCCUACGGGAGGCAGCAGUGGGGAAUUUUGGACAAUGGGCGAAAGCCUGAUCCAGCCAUGCCGCGUGAGUGAAGAAGGCCUUCGGGUUGUAAAGCUCUUUUAGUCGGAAAGAAAGAGUCAUAGUAAAUAGCUAUGAUUUAUGACGGUACCGACAGAAAAAGCACCGGCUAACUACGUGCCAGCAGCCGCGGUAAUACGUAGGGUGCGAGCGUUAAUCGGAAUUACUGGGCGUAAAGGGUGCGCAGGCGGCCUUGUAAGUCAGAUGUGAAAGCCCCGGGCUUAACCUGGGAAUUGCGUAUGAAACUACAAAGCUAGAGUGCAGCAGAGGGGAGUGGAAUUCCAUGUGUAGCAGUGAAAUGCGUAGAGAUGUGGAAGAACACCGAUGGCGAAGGCAGCUCCCUGGGU